rnacentral:rRNA from 1 species
UACAGAGGUCUCAAGCGUUUGUUCGGAUUUAUUGGGCGUAAAGGGCGCGUAGGCGGCGGGGUAAGUCGGGUGUGAAAUCUCAGGGCUCAACCCUGAAACUGCACUUGAUACUGCUCUGCUUGAGGACUGGAGAGGAGACUGGAAUUCACGGUGUAGGCAGUGAAAUGCGUAGAUAUCGUGAGGAAGACCAGUGGCGAAGG